rnacentral:rRNA from 1 species
UAAGGAAUAUUGCGCAAUGGAGGAAACCCUGACGCAGCAACGCCGCGUGGAGGAUGACACUUUUCGGAGCGUAAACUCCUUUUAUCAGGAAAGAAUAAUGACGGUACCUGAUGAAUAAGCACCGGCUAACUCCGUGCCAGCAGCCGCGGUAAUACGGGGGGUGCAAGCGUUACUCGGAAUCACUGGGCGUAAAGGACGCGUAGGCGGAUUAUCAAGUCUUUUGUGAAAUCUAGUGGCUUAACCACUAAACUGCUUAGGAAACUGAUAGUCUAGAGUAGGGGAGAGGUAGAUGGAAUUCUUGGUGUAGGGGUAAAAUCCGUAGAGAUCAAGAAGAAUACCCAUUGCGAAAGCGAUCUGCUGGAACCUAACUGACGCUGAGGCGUGAAAGCGUGGGUAGCAAACAGG